AUCUUCUACAAGCUGGCACCUGCUAGUGCCGAGAACACAUUGGCAACUAAAUCAAAUAUGGUCACUGUCCUUAGGGAGACUGUGCUAGAGGUGAGACAGGUGUGAAUCAAUAACAUUUAGUGGUUAAUGCUCACCUAUCUUUUGUGAUGCAACCGGCAGUCUUCUAAGGGCUGUGCAAAUAUAUUAGGUUUUCAAAUUCUUCUGAUAAUUCUAAGACAGAGUAAGUCUUAUUUUUGUGCCGUCCAUUUCUGUUGCUUUCUGCAGCCGGUGUUGACGUGGACUUAGGAUUGCUAUGAGCGUUUUCAUUAGUGGCUCAUUCUUCCUCAUGGCUCAUUGCUCUUCCCAGCUCUGCCUUUUCUCUGGGAAGCUGGUGUCUGGGUUGGCCCUUCAUCCUCACUCCUUGUCUUUAGUCCAGGACAGGAGGCAGGGGAGAGAGUGUCUCUGGCUGGAGCAGGAAGAUGAAAUCACAGGUGAAUUGACUGUGGACCUGCCUCCUCCCCAGAUAUAAAGCCUCCCAGGCCUCGCCCUUUCCUCACAAGGCCGCCUCCCUGCAACCAUUUCUUUGCCUGCUUCUAGAGGUUACGGCCCCUCUUGCCAAGCCUAAGUGAAGUCACGGAUUAAAUAUCCAGAACCCAGGAUCCCAUCCAGAAUACUGCAUUUUGUUGUCGCGUCUAAUCAAGGUUCACAGGCGAAAGGGACUUGUCUCAGAUGACACUUUGGAUUGGACUUUUCAGUUAAUGCUGGAAUGAGUUAAGACUUCAGGGGACUGUCAGAAAGGCAUGAUUGGUUUUGAAAUGUGAAAAGAACAUGAGAUUUGGGAGGCGUCAGGAUGGAAUAAUAUGGUUUGGCUCUGUGUCCCCACCCAAAUUUCAUCUCAAAUUGUAAUCCCCACACGUUGAGGGAGGAAUCUGGUGGGAGGUGACUGGAUCAUGGGGGUAGUUUCCCCCUUGUUCUCAUGAUAGCGAGGGAGUUCUCACAAGAUUUGGUAUUUGAUAAGGGUCUGGUGCUUCCCCUUUCUCUGUCUCUCUCUCUCUCUCCUGCCGCCUUGUGAAGAUGAUGCUUGCUUCUCCUUCUGCUAUGAUUGUAAGUUUCCUGAGGCCUCCUCAACCAUGGGGAACUGUGAAUCAAUUAAAUCUCUUUUAUUUAUAAAUGACCCAGCCUCAGGUAUUCUUUAUAGCAGUGUGAAAAUGGACUAAUACAAUCGAAUUUAGAAAUCAAGACCUGGGUGCUAGCUGUACUCAUUCCUGCUGGGGUGUCACUGCUUCUAACCCAUCUUCGUGGAGGGAGCUAGGAGAUAUGUAUACAUACUAACAUUCUUUGCAUGUUAAUAGCAAAUAUAUGCAUUUACAUUACAAAGAUUCACAUGGUUCACCAAGGCUUUUUACAAAAAGUAGCGGUUCUCAUUUCCCUCCUUCCAGAGGCAAUCCCUGCCAUUUUAUUAUAUUCCACCAUUUAUUAUUUUUAUAUUUAUUGCCAUUUUAUUAUUUUCUAUUUUAAACAAAAUAAAUAUUUCUAUUUUAUUAUUUAUCUCUAUGUAUUUCAAUAACAAACCUAUAUUGCUAUUUUUGUCCUUAUUUGGAGAUUUUUUUUUCUUCCCAUAGCAUCUCCA
rnacentral:lncRNA from 1 species